AAGACGCUACUGUACCGCCGCGUCGAGGCUAGCUGAGCGCGUCGGUGGCGCCAUCUCUCGGCGCGAGUAGGGAGACCGGUAGCCGUAUCUCAAUAUCGUCAGUCCAGCCGGGUCGCGUUGCGUGUCGCGCGGUCUCGUGUGCUCGCUGCUGUGUUUUCGCUCUCAGCUGGGCCUGUGGACACGGUAAGGACCAAAAUGACUAUCCACAAGGUUCGGUCCUGAUGGCACGCGUGUCUUCCAAGCUGCCACGGAUUGCCGAAGUAGCUUCCGUUUUUGCAACGAAUAACCGCGUUCGUGUGCGUUCCGUUUGAACGAGCCUAGCCGGCGCGGCGGUGGGGCGAUCUCGCGGCGAAAGUGGAGAAUUAAGUAGCCAUAUCUCAAUCUUGGCAUCUUACGCACUUUGGACAGGUCGAGAUGUAUGCCGGUCGAGCUCCGCGUUCGGCACCGCAUUUUGCUCCUGGAUGGACUUCUGGAGACGAUGAGGGCAUCCAUUAUUGUUAUUAUCGGUGUCGGCCGCGCGAAGACAGGACGCAGGAUUUGGAGAGUGUCUGUGCCGCCUCGUCUACGCUCUCUCUCUCUCUCUCUCCCUGUCUCGCUCUCUUAUCGCCGCGCGAAAUGGGAAUCUCCGUUCCAGCCGCAGUGGCGCGUCUAGAAUUUUUAAUGGCCCUUAAAGCGAAACUUGCCACAGAGCACGGAAAUGAAGCUGAUAUGUUGACUACGGCGGUGUGUACGAGGGGAUAAAACGUGAGGGGUGGCCGUCGUGCAGUUCGGCUCGUACGUCCGACAGGGUGACAGAAAUAAGAGGAAGUGAUGGGCGAAUAGUUCCCGCGACGCGCUUAAAUGAUUCAUCGUCAACGAAAUCGUCUCGGAUUUCGUCGAGGACGAGCCUGUAAAGUGUGCACAGGACACGCGGGACUCUCGAGGCCGAAGUCCGUCCGAGUGGGUUAAAGACGAAUCUGAGCCCUCGCGAGCGUCGGGCGAUGCCGUGUCAACUGGAUAGGUGUAUCUAUGCGAGUAUCAACGCCACCAGCGAAUAUCCGAAUUGCCAGGCCGGGUCGACUGUGAGUCACAAUUCUGCAUCGAGAAACCCGGACAGCUGUCACGAGAUGCAGGACGUGGGGACGCAUGCAGCGAUACAUUGCAGAUUUCCAAAUGUGUCCAAUCAUUUGUUGUGCGAUAUAUGUACAGUUUCAAAAGAUGCUUUGACAUACCCUUACUGAGAAUAAAAAAUACCCGAAUCGAAAUAUAUGUCGGCAUUCAUAGCUCGUUACUUAAGUCAUAUAAUUUAUUAUAUUUCGUCUAUCUCUUCGUAUUCAUUUUAGAUAAAAAUAUUGUCAUACAGUCGAAUAAGGAUUUAGGAAUAUAAAUAUAUAAUUAAUUAUAUUUUUAAUUAAAAACUGUAGAUAACUGUAGAUAAACACAGAGAUAACUAUAGAAUCUAGUAGAAGUUAUACAUGCUGUAUAUUGUACAAUUAACAUGUAUUACAUAUGUAAUAUUUCUAUUGUGAUUUCUAUUGUAUUUUUACUUUUGUGCUAUUUUAAUAAAAUAAAUAUAAUGUAAUGUAAAUUUGAAUAAAGUACU